AAGCGUUGUUCGGAAUUACUGGGCGUAAAGGGUUCGUAGGUGGCCAACUAAGUCAGACGUGAAAUCCCUCAGCUUAACUGGGGAACUGCGUCUGAGACUGGAUGGCUUGAGUGCAGGAGAGGAACGCGGAAUUCCAGGUGUGGCGGUGAAAUGCGUAGAUAUCUGGAGGAACACCGGUGGCGAAGGCGGCGUUCUGGACUGCUACUGACACUGAGGAACGAAAGCCAGGGGAGCAAACGGG
rnacentral:rRNA from 1 species